rnacentral:tRNA from 1 species
CCCUAAAAAGUCCUUUAGACA